UCCGGAUCUCAGAUCAAGCAAGAGGA
rnacentral:rRNA from 7 species